CAUUCCACGUUCUCUGCGCCGCAGCUAACGCAUUAAGCGUCCCGCCUGGUGAGUACGACCGCAAGGUUAAUACUCAAAGGAAUUGACGGGGGCCCGCACAAGCAGCGGAGCAUGCGGCUUAAUUCGAUGCUACGCGAAGAACCUUACCUAGGCUUGACAUGCAUUGAAAACUGUUAGAGAUAACAGGUCCGCAAGGGCUUUGCACAGGUGGUGCAUGGCUGUCGUCAGCUCGUGUCGUGAGAUGUUGGGUUAAGUCCCGCAACGAGCGCAACCCUCGUCUUGUGUUGCCAACAGGUAAUGCUGGGAACUCACAAGAGACUGCCGGGGUCAACUCGGAGGAAGGUGGGGACGACGUCAAGUCAUCAUGCCCCUUAUGUCUAGGGCUGCACGCAUGCUACAAUGGCCGAUACAAAGGGCUGCGAUACCGCAAGGUGGAGCGAAUCCCAUAAAGUCGGUCUCAGUUCGGAUUGAGGUCUGCAACUCGACCUCAUGAAGUUGGAGUUGCUAGUAAUCGCGGAUCAGCAACGCCGCGGUGAAUACGUUCCCGGGCCUUGUACACACCGCCCGUCACGUCACGAAAGUCGGUAACACCCAAAACCAGUGGUCCAACCGUAAGGGGGA
rnacentral:rRNA from 1 species